rnacentral:tRNA from 1 species
GCGCCCAUAGCUCAGCUGGAUAGAGUAUCGGACUACGAAUCCGAGGGCCGAAGGUUCGAAUCCUUCUGGGCGCGCCA